rnacentral:rRNA from 1 species
CCUACGGGGGGCAGCAGUGAGGAAUAUUGGUCAAUGGACGAGAGUCUGAACCAGCCAAGUAGCGUGAAGGAUGACUGCCCUAUGGGUUGUAAACUUCUUUUAUAUGGGAAUAAAAUGUUCCACGUGUGGGAUUUUGUAUGUACCAUAUGAAUAAGGAUCGGCUAAAUCCGUGCCAGCAGCCGCGGUAAUACGGAGGAUCCGCGCGUUAUCCGGAUUUAUUGGGUUUAAAGGGAGCGUAGGUGGAUUGUUAAGUCAGUUGUGAAAGUUUGCGGCUCAACCGUAAAAUUGCAGUUGAAACUGGCAGUCUUGAGUACAGUAGAGGUGAGCGGAAUUCGUGGUGUAGCGGUGAAAUGCUUAGAUAUCACGAAGAACUCCGAUUGCGAAGGCAGUUCACUGGACUGCAACUGACACUGAGGCUCGAAAGUGUGGGUAUCAAACAGGAUUAGAUACCCGGGUAGUC